UCAUGCACGAAAAGGGUGGGGGAGCCAACAGGAUUAGAUACCCGGGUAGUCCACGCCCUAAACGAUGUCAACUAGUGUUGGGGCCUUCGGGCCUUGGUAGCGCAGCUAACGCGUGAAGUUGACCGCCUGGGGAGUACGGUCGCAAGAUUAAAACUCAAAGGAAUUGACGGGGACCCGCACAAGCGGUGGAUGAUGUGGAUUAAUUCGAUGCAACGCGAAAAACCUUACCUACCCUUGACAUGUCUGGAAUUCCGAAGAGAUUUGGAAGUGCUCGCAAGAGAACCGGAACACAGGUGCUGCAUGGCUGUCGUCAGCUCGUGUCGUGAGAUGUUGGGUUAAGUCCCGCAACGAGCGCAACCCUUGUCAUUAGUUGCUACGAAAGGGCACUCUAAUGAGACUGCCGGUGACAAACCGGAGGAAGGUGGGGAUGACGUCAAGUCCUCAUGGCCCUUAUGGGUAGGGCUUCACACGUCAUACAAUGGUCGGGACAGAGGGUCGCCAACCCGCGAGGGGGAGCCAAUCCCAGAAACCCGAUCGUAGUCCGGAUCGCAGUCUGCAACUCGACUGCGUGAAGUCGGAAUCGCUAGUAAUCGCGGAUCAGCAUGUCGCGGUGAAUACGUUCCCGGGUCUUGUACACACCGCCCGUCACACCAUGGGAGUGGGUUUUACCAGAAGUAGUUAUGCCUAACCGUAAGGGGGGCGAUUACCACUGUAGGAUCCAUU
rnacentral:rRNA from 1 species